GGGCGCGUAGCUCAGCCUGGUAGAGUGCUUCGUUCGCAACGAAGAAGCCCCGGGUUCAAAUCCCGGCGCGUCCA
rnacentral:tRNA from 1 species